rnacentral:snRNA from 1 species
AGCUUUGCACAGUGGCAGCGUCGUAGCCAAUGAGGUUUAUCCGAGGCGCGAUUAUUGCUAAUUGAAAGAAGUGCACACCAGCAUGAGAAUCCAAGGGUCCUGGCACUGAGCCACUGUCUUCCUGCCCCAAGUCAUGAAUAUAGAAAAGUACUUUUUGGAACUAAGUAUUUCUUG